rnacentral:snRNA from 1 species
CCUUUUACCUGGCAGGGGAGAUACUAUGUUAAAAAUGUGGUUUUCUCAGGGCAAGGAUAACCAUUGGAUAGCCAUUGUACUCCAGAUGUCCUGACCUCUGAGAUUUCCCCAAAUGUGGAAAACUUAACUGCAUAAUUUGUGGUAGUAAGAUACUUCAUGCUUUCAUCUUU